CUAUGCACCGGGGGGCUUUGGGGAGAAAAAGGAAAAAAUAAAAUCUUUUAAAAAAAAAAAAAAAAAAGAACUUAAUCAAACUUGGGGUCUCAGCUUCUCGUAGACUUACAGAUGCUAAUGAAAAUGUUAAGUUAACAAAGAGAAAUCAGAAAGGGAAGAGUCACAGGACUGGUCCCAAUGGGAUAAACAGAACAGAUAUUAAAUGAAGUUAAAACAAAGGUUUUAAUAAAACGCUGCCUAAGGUUGGAUGGGCUAAAGGGACCCCCCCUAUUGGCUCCCCAACAUUAAAGGACAUCAGACACAUCUGUUCUAUUUACCCCAGUUUGAAAAAUUUAAAAGGUCAGGAGGCAAAAAUCAGAGUGAGAAACCAGACCAACAAUUAUUUGGGGCAACAUUUAGGCUACUAAGAUUAAUAAGACUAUACAGAUUAAAAUGUUUAAGCUAAUAUUAUAUGAAGAGGUUAUGUCAACUUUGCCUGGGUGUUUUCUUUGGGAAUAAAUGUUAUGUCUAACUGGGAAUGCUUUCACUGAACAAUAUUGUAAUACCAAAACUUGUUAAUAGAAUGCUAAUGUAAGUUACAAUUAAAAGUAUAAGUGUUAGUAAAACUAAGAUAAAGUUUCGUAAAAAUUGAUAUACUUAAACAGGCCAAUUUCACUUCACGCAAACUGGUGCAUGCAAUUGGAAAAGCCAGCUGCAACAACGGGGAGCCUGUUUUAAUCUUUUGAGGCUUCUAAAUAAAAUUAGAAAUAUUUUACUGCCUCUUAAAGAGAAAAUAAUUAAAUAAUUAAACAUGCCAGCAGCCGAACCCAAAUCUGCUGCUUUUGUCUCCUCUCUUGCUGAGCUUCCCAGCAAACUGAACUUCACCUCAAAUUCAUUCCCCCAAAAUUCCUGAUCUAAAAUUGAAGAAGUAAAAGUAAGUAAACUUUUGAGAUAAUUUGGAGUGUAAUGACCAUUCUGAAAACCUGUUUCAGAACAGGAUUCAAAAUCUUUCAUAAUGGAAAGCAGUCUUUAAUGAAUAUGCAAAAACUUCUAAGAGACAAAGUUAUUUAACAUGAUAUAAAAUGAUCUUUGAUGAAUGAAAGCCUGUUUAAGUUUGCUGGUUUCAUUUAAAGUGAACAUGUCCUCAAAGUUAUCAGCAUUGGCUAUAAUGCAGACACACAGCCUGGGUUUACUGGUCAAAUGAGCUCAUGUCAUUUCUGCUCCAAAAUUUAUCAGCAAAACUCAUAACUCAGUAUAAUAGCUAAUUUUGUUUAAUGUCUCAUGGAGUUUUUUUUUUUUAAGAUUUUUUUAUUCUUUUUCCUUUUUCUCCCCAAAGCCCCCCGGUACAUAGUUGUAUAUUCUUCGUUGUGGGUCCUUCUAGUUGUGGCAUGUGGGACGCUGCCUCAGCGUGGUCUGAUGAGCAGUGCCAUGUCCAUGCCCAGGAUUCGAACCAACGAAACACUGGGCCUCCUGCAGCGGAGCGCACGAACUUAACCACUCGGCCACGGGGCCAGCCCCUCAUGGAGUUUUUGUAGACGAUAUAAAUAUAAUUGUUAAGAACAGGACACAAUUGGAAACACUGGUUAUAUUACCAAGGCUUUGACUGGAACAUCAUAUUUGAAAAAACAUAUGGGCUUAAAUAUAACAAGACAGCUUUUGAAGAAUGAAGGUUGACAUUCUGGAAUAAAGCCACUUGGAAAUAUUGGCCUGGUACUGUGCUUAUGGGUUCUGUAACCUGGUAAGGUUGAGUAAAGAAUGUCGCUCCUUUUGGCAGGUACAAGGAACCUCAAUAUUUCGGGGAACCUCAUGAAGAGAGGGAUUCACCCAAAUCUGCAGGUACUGCAGGCAGAAUGUGAUAACAGGUCCUUUGCUUGGCUUUCCUUGAGAGGCCUUUAAAGAUCAACCUGAGAUUUCUUAUAAGGUUCCAGCAAAGCAGAUUAAAAAGAGCCUAUAUGAUCAACUACUAUUCUUGCUGUACUUAUGUAAAUAAUUAUUCCAAAUUUAUUAAAACUAGACAUUGUGCAAACCAGUUAGUCUUAAUUUUGCUAUGUCUAGUGAAAUUGAGGGUGAUUUUAGGGAGGAAGAUUAUGUUUCAAUAGAAACUAUAAUUCAUGUUUAUAGAUAUUAGAUUUUAGUUUUUUCAAUUGUCCUUUUGAAAUUUUUGUUUUACUUCUGUUAACUAGACUGGAUCUUAAAUUCUUCAUCUCCUGAACUACCUGGCCAAAAACCUCCAAGCUAACAUUUUCAGGGUCUUUUUUUCCCCAUUAUUUUCAUUUAGAGUCAUUGAAAACUAAAUCUGCCCUUUUUCCUAAAGCCUUACAAACUGAAGCUGGAAGACCCAAUAUAAACUUAAGAGAGAUUCACGUCUACUGCUGUGUAAGCCACUCAAAAAGCCACCUGAUUGCUGCAUGACACCAUCAGAGACAUUUCAAACUGCAAAAGAUGCUUUGACUCUGACUUCUAGGAAUCUUGAUUGGCUGCCCCCUGGGCUCAGAAACUUGUUUAUAAUUUGCUCCAAUCAUUAACCUUGUUUUUCUCUUUAAGUUUCUCUAGAAAAUCUUCUUAUUAAAUACCUUGUUACUUACUUACAUGAUACAGGCCUACCUUCAGGAGCCCACCAGCAUCACUGCCUUAUUAAAAGACUGGUUCAAUGAGAUAAAACAACCUACGCCCCAUUUCAGCAGGAAGUAGCUAGAUGGGUCGCCACCCCAAAUCCCUAAAGAUUGACGGAUGGACAUAAAAUAGGGGGGAGUUGAUACCGACCCUGAUAUCAGUUUCCCCACAUUAAACCCAGCAUAUAUGGGGUUAAAACCAAAACACUCAUUCCCUGCUUACUCUCUGGCUUCCUGGCUCCAGAAUCCACUAUCCUCCAUGGAGAGAGACACCAUCAAGGACAAGCACCUGGACUAUCUCCUCCCGCAAAGAGAUACGGGCUGGUGGGAAAGCUGCUGACCAGCAGGGUCAUGAGCUGCCUCCUCUCUGCAAGUGUCUCAAGGCCAAAGACAGGCUGGUGGGAAAGCUCCGACCAGCAAGGCCAUAUGCUCCCCCUCCCCUACCUAAAACCCCAAAUAAGAACCCUUCCUUUCAGCUUUUCGGGGAGUUUGAGAUUUGAGCAUUAGCUGCCCUCUCUCCUUGCUCAGUGCUGUGCAAAAAUAAAAUUCCUACUUUCUUCCACCACACCCGGUGUCAGAGAUUGGCUUGCUGUGCAGCGGUGAGUGAACUCACUUCAGGUUCGGUAACGAAGAUACAGAUGUGUCCUUUCUCUUAAGAGUUUGCCAUUAAAUACGAGAUAAUAAU
ensembl:lncRNA